rnacentral:rRNA from 1 species
UCGAGCGAAUGGAUUAAGGAGCUUGCUCUUAUGAAGUUAGCGGCGGACGAACAUUUUGAACCGCAUGGUUCGAAAUUGAAAGGCGGCUUCGGCUGUCACUUAUGGAUGGACCCGCGUCGCAUUAGCUAGUUGGUGAGGUAACGGCUCACCAAGGCAACGAUGCGUAGCCGACCUGAGAGGGUGAUCGGCCACACUGGGACUGAGACACGGCCCAGACUCCUACGGGAGGCAGCAGUAGGGAAUCUUCCGCAAUGGACGAAAGUCUGACGGAGCAACGCCGCGUGAGUGAUGAAGGCUUUCGGGUCGUAAAACUCUGUUGUUAGGGAAGAACAAGUGCUAGUUGAAUAAGCUGGCACCUUGACGGUACCUAACCAGAAAGCCACGGCUAACUACGUGCCAGCAGCCGCGGUAAUACGUAGGUGGCAAGCGUUAUCCGGAAUUAUUGGGCGUAAAGCGCGCGCAGGUGGUUUCUUAAGUCUGAUGUGAAAGCCCACGGCUCAACCGUGGAGGGUCAUUGGAAACUGGGAGACUUGAGUGCAGAAGAGGAAAGUGGAAUUCCAUGUGUAGCGGUGAAAUGCGUAGAGAUAUGGAGGAACACCAGUGGCGAAGGGCGACUUUUCUGGUCUGUAACUGACACUGAGGCGCGAAAGCGUGGGGAGCAAACAGGGAUUAGAUACCCUGGUAGUCCACGCCGUAAAACGAUGAGUGCUAAGUGUUAGAGGGUUUCCGCCCUUUAGUGCUGAAGUUAACGCAUUUAAGCACUCCCGCCUGGGGAGUACGGCCGCAAGGCUGAAACUCAAAGGAAUUGACGGGGGCCCGCACAAGCGGUGGAGCAUGUGGUUUAAUUUCGAAGCAACGCGAAGAACCUUACCAGGUCUUGACAUCCUUUGACAACCCUAGAGAUAGGGCUUUUCCUUCGGGAGCAGAGUGACAGGUGGUGCAUGGUUGUUGUCAGCUCGUGUCGUGAGAUGUUGGGUUAAGUCCCGCAACGAGCGCAACCCUUGAUUUUAGUUGCCAUCAUUUAGUUGGGCACUUUAAGGUGACUGCCGGUGACAAACCGGAGGAAGGUGGGGAUGACGUCAAAUCAUCAUGCCCCUUAUGACCUGGGCUACACACGUGCUACAAUGGACGGUACAAAGAGCUGCAAGACCGCGAGGUGGAGCUAAUUUCAUAAAACCGUUUUCAGUUCGGAUUGUAGGCUGCAACUUGCCUACAUGAAGCUGGAAUCGCUAGUAAUCGCGGAUCAGCAUGCCGCGGUGAAUACGUUCCCGGGCCUUGUACACCCCGCCCGUCCCACCCCGAGAGUUUGUAACCCCCGAAGUUCGGUGGGGUAACCUUUUGGAGC